GAUGAACGCUAGCGGCAGGCCUAACACAUGCAAGCCGAGGGGUAGAGGAAGCUUGCUUCCUUGAGACCGGCGCACGGGUGCGUAACGCGUAUGCAAUCUACCUUAUACAGAGGGAUAGCCCAGAGAAAUUUGGAUUAAUACCUCAUAGUAUUAUGAAAUCGCAUGGUUUUAUAAUUAAAGUUCCAACGGUAUAAGAUGAGCAUGCGUCCCAUUAGUUAGUUGGUAAGGUAACGGCUUACCAAGACAAUGAUGGGUAGGGGUCCUGAGAGGGAGCUCCCCCACACUGGUACUGAGACACGGCCCAGACUCCUACGGGAGGCAGCAGUGAGGAAUAUUGGUCAAUGGACGCAAGUCUGAACCAGCCAUGCCGCGUGCAGGAUGACGGUCCUAUGGAUUGUAAACUGCUUUUAUACAGGAAGAAACACUCCCUCGUGAGGGAACUUGACGGUACUGUAGGAAUAAGGAUCGGCUAACUCCGUGCCAGCAGCCGCCGUAAUAC
rnacentral:rRNA from 1 species